GACGAACGCUGGCGGCGUGCUUAACACAUGCAAGUCGAACGGAAAGGCCCUGCUUUUGUGGGGUGCUCGAGUGGCGAACGGGUGAGUAACACGUGAGUAACCUGCCCUUGACUUUGGGAUAACUUCAGGAAACUGGGGCUAAUACCGGAUAGGAGCUCCUGCUGCAUGGUGGGGGUUGGAAAGUUUCGGCGGUUGGGGAUGGACUCGCGGCUUAUCAGCUUGUUGGUGGGGUAGUGGCUUACCAAGGCUUUGACGGGUAGCCGGCCUGAGAGGGUGACCGGCCACAUUGGGACUGAGAUACGGCCCAGACUCCUACGGGAGGCAGCAGUGGGGAAUAUUGCACAAUGGGCGGAAGCCUGAUGCAGCAACGCCGCGUGCGGGAUGACGGCCUUCGGGUUGUAAACCGCUUUCGCCUGGGACGAAGCGUGAGUGACGGUAAUGGGAAAAGAAGCACCGGCUAACUACGUG
rnacentral:rRNA from 1 species